rnacentral:rRNA from 1 species
AGUUCCUUGAUUAUGCUCAGAUUGACAUGCUUGUGGAUAUGUUUUCAGCAUGUAAGUCGAACGGCAGCACGGACUUCGGUCUGGUGGCGAGUGGCGAACGGGUGAGUAGUCAUCGAACGCUUCAGCAUGGGGAUAACUACGCGAAAGCGUAGCUAAUACCGCAUACGCCCUUCGGGGGAAAGCGGGGGGACCUUUCGGCCUCAAAAUUAGGAGCGGGCCGGGAUAUCGGAUUAGCUAGUUGGUGGGGUAAACGUCAUAAUUAAGGCGACGAUCCGUAGCUGGUUUGAGAGGGACGACCCAGCCAUUGAUUGAGACGGCCCAGAUUCCUACGGGAGGCAGCAGUGGGGAAUUUUGGACAAUGGGGAAAACCCUCGAUCCGUCAUCCCGCGUGUGCGAUGAAGGCUCUCGGUUGUAAAGCACUUUUGGCAGGAAAGAAACGGCACGGAUAAUACCCCGUGCAACUGACGGUACCUGCAGAAUAAGCACCACACACGCAAGCCAGCAGCCGCGGUAAUACGUAGGUGCAAGCGUUAAUCGGAAUUGUCUGGGCGUAAAGCGUGCGCAGGCGGUUCGGAAAGAAAGAUGUGAAAUCCCAGAGCUUAACUUUGGAACUGCAUUUUUAACUACCGAGCGAGAUGUGUCAGAGGAGGUAAUCGGCGUGUAGCAGUGAAUGCGUAGAUAUGCGGAGGAACACUGAUGGCGAAGGCAGCCUCCUGGAUAACACUGACGCUCAUGCACGAAAGCGUGGGGAGCAAACAGGAUUAGAUACCCUGGUAGUCCACGCCCUAAACGAUGUCAAUUAGCUGUUGGGGCCUUCGCCUUGGUAGCAGCUAACGCGUGAAGUUGACCGCCUGGGGAAAGAAUAGUCAAAGAUUAAAACUCAAAGGAAUUGAUGGGGACCCGCACAAGCGGUGGAUGAUGUGGGAUUAAUUCGAUGCAACGCGAAAACCUUACCUACCCUUUAUGUUCGGAAUCCCGAAGAUUUGGGAGUGCUCGCAGAGAACCGGAACAGUUGCAUGGCUGUCGUCAGCUCGUGUCGUGAGAUGUUGGGUUAAGUCCCAGCAAUAGAUGUCCUUGGUGGUCAUUAGUUGCUACGAAAGCGCAUCCGACGAGACUGCCGGGGUGACAAACCGAGGAAGGUGGGGAUGACGUCAGGUCCUCAUGGCUCUUAUGGGUAGGGCUUCACACGUCAUACAAUGGUCGGGACAGAUAUGGUCAACCCGAGGGGUGGAGUCAAUCCAGAAACCCGAUCAGUCCGGAUCGCAGUCUGCAACUCGACAGUGCGAAGUCGGAAUCGCUAGUAAUCGCGAUCAGCAUGUCGCGGUGAAUACGUUCCUGGUCUUGUACACACUGCCCGUCACACCAUGGGAGUGGGUUUUACCAGAAGUAGUUAGCCUCAAACCGGCGAGCAUGAUUACCAAUGGUAGGAUUCAUGACUGGGGUGAAGUCGUAACAAGGUAG